rnacentral:rRNA from 1 species
GACGAACGCUGGCGGCGUGCUUAACACAUGCAAGUGGAGCGACGAACCAGGCUUCGGCCUGGGGCAGAGCCGCGAACGGGUGAGUAACACGUGGGUAACCUGCCCCAAUGACCGGGACAACUCGGGGAAACGUCGAGCUAAUACCGGAUGUGCCUUCUUCACAUCAGUGAUGAAUAGGAAAGGAAAGCUUCGGCCUCCGCGUUGGGAGUCGGCCCGCGGCGCAUUAGCUU